rnacentral:rRNA from 1 species
AUGGCGGCGGCCUCCUCCGUGGGCCGUCAACCUCGCGCGCACCGCUGCCCAAAUCCUCGCUCGCUAUUAUCCCGGCUACAAUGGCACCCUCCUUCCAAUGGGCCCAUCCACCUCCUCCGCCGUCGAUGCAGAUCUGACGCAUGUGUCCUCCCAGGAUCCAGCGUCAUCCAAGGUGCGCGUGAGGGCAGGUCACGGGCAACCCCUUGGGCAGGUCAUGCGCCACACCAGUCCGAGUGCCUAACACUGGCGGUGAGGAAGCAGAGCAAGGGCGUCGGCAGCUACCUCGUCAGCACCCGGUGGCACAAGAACUUCUGGCUCCUCGCUUGA